UCGUGUUUUUUACACACAAAUCAUUUUGGUUCGUGUUAAGGUCCUUCUAAAAUUAAUUUGCUCAGUUUAAUCAUUCCCCUGUUUACGACUUACGCUGUUGUUCGGUCAUACGUUUACAAUCGAAGUGUAUUUGAUCCAAAAUGGAUAGUGGAAAAGAAACGUAUAAUGCGUAUGAAAAUCGUCUCAAUGAAAAUUCAGGUAAAAAAUAAAAACUAUGAUAUGACAAUCGAAACUAAUUUUACGUAAAAUUACUUUUCCAUUUUUCUCGUUUAGGAUAUGAUGUUUGUGGAUUUUACUGUUCGACGUCUAAUUAAAGACUAGAAUUAAACUCCCUAAACACAAAGAGUUUGCCGAUUAUAACACUCGUUUAAAAAGACUUUUGAAAACUGUCCAAAAAAAUUGGAAUCAAAAAUAUCAAGACUUUGUGAUGCUGGAUUUUUAUACUUAGGUAACGGACAAAAUGAUCAAAUGUUAUGUUAUUGCUGCAGUCAAGGUAUGAAAGAUUGGGAUGAUGAAGACGACCCAUGGGUAGAACACGUACGUUGGUCUCCUAGCUGUACCCAUGUAUUGUUAUGUUAAAUAUAUUCAAUAAAACCGUUCCAGAAUCUUUUUCAAGUGUAUCUGUUUUCGUAUAUUUAAUCAAAAUUAUUCAAAAUGAAAUUACCAAAAAGUGUCAAUAAUGUAGAACAUCUGAUUGAAUACAUGGAAAGUACUGGAGUAUUAUGUUUUUUAGAAAUCGCACAGCUUUUGACCGGGGAGUAAUGAAUGAUGGUUUUAAUAUUCGCGAUCCGGAAGCAUUACGAACCAUACGGAGUUGUGCCGAUUUAUACAAGAGAGAAAUUCGAGCGGAAAAUGGAACAAUUAAAACAAAAAAUGAAUAAUCAAGCCAAAGGCAUGGAGUACAUUAAAAUGUCUGACUUGGUAGAGAAUCAUGCCUAUAGAGUUGAUUCAAUGAAAAAUUUGACAACGAGAAACGGUGUUGUGGUGGUGGCACGGUUGCCCGACAAGUUUUUGUUCCAAGAAUACAGUUGACGGACGAUGAAAUUAAAACGUACAACGACGGCGACGCCAAAAUGUCACUUUGUUACAGAGGAAGAACGGGAAAUGCUUAUUCAUUAGAUUUUCAAUAAAAUUUUUUUUAAAGCAUUAACUUUUUUUUUUUUACAAUCAACAAAAUCUGUUUGUAUCUAAUGAUGAUUUAUGUACAACAAUUGAAAUAAAAUUAUAUAGUUCGUUCACAAUCUAUUUGUGUUUGCAUUAUUACUCCGAUAGUAUAGAACCUAAUAGUAGUUUAUGACAAAGGUAAAUUAUACUUUAGAUUAAUAUUAUAAGAUUGAUAGUUUUUCAAAUUGGUGGAAAAUGUAAAAACAAAAACCACAAUAGCAAUACUUUAAAGUAGAUUUUAAGAAGAAAAAAAAUAACUUAUGUAUUCAAGUUUUACACACCAUUGAUAAUAUAAUCCGUUAACAGUCCAGUAGUGUUUACUCCAAUAGUAAAAGUACAUUGAACUGAAUAGU